rnacentral:rRNA from 1 species
GACGAACGCUGGCGGCGUGCUUAACACAUGCAAGUCGAGCGGUAAGGCUCCUUCGGGAGUACACGAGCGGCGAACGGGUGCGUAACACGUGAGUAAUCUGCCCUUCACUUCGGGAUAACCACCGGAAACGGUGGCUAAUACCGCAUACGACCAGUCUUCGCAUGAGGUGCUGGUGGAAAGUAUUUUCGGUGAAGGAUGUGCUCGCGGCCUAUCAGCUUGUUGGUGGGGUAAUGGCCUACCAAGGCUUCGACGGGUAGCUGGCCUGAGAGGGUGACCGGCCACACUGGGACUGAGACACGGCCCAGACUCCUACGGGAGGCAGCAGUGGGGAAUAUUGGACAAUGGGCGAAAGCCUGAUCCAGCAACGCCGCGUGAGGGAUGACGGCCUUCGGGUUGUAAUCCUCUUUAAGUACCGACGAAGCGCCCUGUCGGGUGGUGACGGUAGGUACAGAAGAAGGACCGGCCAACUACGUG